rnacentral:rRNA from 1 species
AGGGUUUGAUUCUGGCUCAGAACGAACGCUGGCGGCGUGGAUAAGACAUGCAAGUCGGACGAGAUUUCGUCCUGUAGCAAUACGGGAAGAAGUCUAGUGGCGAACGGGUGCUUAACACGUGGGCAAUCUGUCUUAAAGUGGGGGAUAGCUCGGCGAAAGCCGAAUUAAUACCGCAUGUGAUUAGAGUGGACAUCCAUUCAAAAUUAAAGUCGGGGCAACCUGACGCUUUUUGAGGAGCCCGCGGCCUAUCAGCUAGUUGGUGAGGUAACGGCUCACCAAGGCUUUGACGGGUAGCUGGUCUGAGAGGACGACCAGCCACACUGGGACUGAGACACGGCCCAGACACCUACGGGUGGCAGCAGUCGAGAAUUUUUCUCAAUGGGGGAAACCCUGAAGGAGCGACGCCGCGUGGAGGAUGAAGGUCUUCGGAUUGUAAACUCCUGUCAUUGGGGAACAAGGUGCAUACGUUAACUGCGUGUGCAUUGAUAGUACCCGAAGAGG